CCGUGGCCCCUGGGACACCCAUUUCCUAUGGGCUCUGUGUCUGUGGUGGGGCUCCCUUCUCCCUUGGAGCUUCCUUAUCCCCUGUGCCCCUCACUGAGGUCUUUCCCGCGGGGCUCCUUUUUCACCUCAGGCUUCCUGUGGGACGCCCCUCACCCCCAUUCUAGUCCAUUAUUUUAGUGCCGGAGGUGCAGCAGGUCACAUCCCACCCUGUCCGAGGUUCUUUCUAGGCAAACGGACAUGUGGUGACACAAAUGGACACAGGGACACAAAUGGACACGUUCCCCUCCGUGAUCCCAAAGCAGGCGCAGCCCCGCUGCCGGUGGAUCCUCCCUUUCCCGGGCAGUCACCAUCCGGACCGUGGCUUUUCCAACCUCAGCAAAUCUGCAAUUCUAUAAUUCUGCUGCUGUGGUACAACCAGUGAGCAGCUAUCACGUGCAGGACCAUCCUCUGUGAGUGCCCAGACCCUCUUCUGCUUGAGUGCUUUGCUCCAGGCUCAGUGAUGUGAUUCAUCUUGGCUGCUGUGGAGAUGGAAUGGGAAGGUUCCAGCACUGACAGAGCUGCUCAUGAAAUCCUGUGCUGCUGGCAUUGUUGGGCCGUGUAUCCUUUAGAAUUGCAACACCCUAAACCCGACAAACAGGCACUUCAUCCACACCAGCUCCUUCUCCUUUCUCCUUCUUUAUGGAAAAUUGGCAGGCUCCCAACCUGUUUCCAUAGGAACGGGCUGGGAGAGCAGGAGACCUCCAGCUGCUGAAGUCCCAGCCUUAACACGGCCAUGGCAUCUGCUUGGCCGUGACAGGAGCUCCUGCAGCCUCUGGAGACUGCAGGCAUGGGGAAAACACUCAUUUUGUGUUGGAGAUAAGGAGCUGAUAAGCAGCUUACCCGAGGCUGCCUGGCUGAUUUCGGUGCAGGCUGGAAAAAGCUCCAUUGUUUGCUCUUGGAUGCUGAGUCUCAUCCUGCUCCCCUGCUUCUUUGGGGGCUGCCCCAAACCUCCCACGUUCCCCAGGCUGAGCAGAGGCUUCCCCGCAGGAUGGCAGCAUUUCACUAAAGCUCCAGCAUCAGCUGGAGAUGCCUCAGGUGUCUGCUAGGAUUUGCUUCCCUCUUAUGAAAUGAAAAAGAGAGGAAAUAAAUUGUGGCACAGCUCCCCCGCCUGACUUUCUGCUCGGGUGCCAGUUACCAGCUCAGGCUAUUGUUCUGCAGAGUUUCAUUUUAAGCUCCUUUAUUAGACACUCUAAAAUAUCACUUCCUUGCUCUUGCAAACAGCCUGUUCCUGCAGGAGAGAUUUGUGCUUCUUAGUCAGCUGCUGGUGCUUUCCAAGGGAAGGCAGCCCUGGGAGUCGUGGUUUAUCACCUGCUCUGCUGCUGUUUGAUCCCCUCUCUGCCCCAGGGCUGGGCUGUGCUCUCACACUGCUGCUAAGAGGUGCAAUUAGGGUUUGGCCUCCUUGCAGAAGCUCCCAUCAAACACUCCAAGCUCCUCAUAUGAGAAGAGAGGAGCUGGGCUGAGCUGGUUCCCACGUCCUUCUAAGUGCUGCACUUUCUCCAGUCUGUCUGCACAUGCACAGCUGGGAACUGCCAUGGAAAAUCUUCCUAACCCUACAGCAUCAGUUCCCCUAGGAGGGAAAAAAUGCUUUAUUCCUUCCAGUGGAUUUUUAUGGAGCAGGUAAUACAUGGGAGGUUCUGCCCCAUUCUGAGCCCGUGGCCCUGGUAUGAGCACCAGAGCAAGGAGCUGCUUCCAGAAAGGUCCUUUAUCCCUGUUUGCUCUUUAUUGCUCCCAACAAACAGGUUCCCAGCUGGGGAAGCAGCAGAGCUCUCCAGGGAAUUGCACAAACCCUCACCUUGCUGCUCAGCCAAAGAGCAAACCUGAGCUUUGCUACAGCCCCAGCAGCUGCCAUGCCUGUGGUUCCAAAUCCUCAGGGGGGAAUUACUCACCCUGAGAGCUCCCAGUGAGGAUCAGAGGGGAAAGGGGGGGUCCUGGCACCUCUGUCUGUGUGGCACUCACCCACCUGAGGCAGCAGUGUGCCCCAGGGGUGGGCAGCACGCUGCCGGGGAGGCCAGCAGGGAGGGAAAGGCAGCUGGGCCUGGCACAUCUGCAGCAAGAGGAGGCAGCAACGCUGACUCCCACGGCAGCUGCAGGGGUGGGAAGCAGCACAGGUUUUAUUCUGUCUGGUACAAAAGGUACCCUUGAAAAAAGGCAGAAGGCAGGCUGAGGCUCAGGCACCACAUGCUACAUGAGCACGACCUCCUCUUUGAGUUCUUGGAUGCUCAUGUGAAAAAUGUGUAUUUUAUGAUUGGCUUUUCUCAAAUAUUCAAAUGAAUAUUAGAUGA